UUCUCAUAGAUGUUUCUCUCUCCCCCCACCCGCCUUCUUCUCUGAAAGCAAUAAAAAUAUAUUUUAAAAAUUCAAAAAUAAAGUGAUUUUGUAUCCACAUGUCUCUGUCCUCCAGUGUUCACUUUUUCAAUUGUGCCACACCACUUAGAGAACUAAGCCAUACUCCUUGAAGUUACCCCAAUACUCUUUCCUUAUUUUGCCCACUAUUACAUCCAAAUUUAGUUCAACCUGUUUUUUAUAAUAUUUGUUGAAUAUUCUGUUUCCAAAGCCAUUCUCUGGGUUGAGGAUCUCAAUCUUUCUGCUAUAGACUAUAUAGCUAUUUUCUUACAUAGCCUCCUGAAUCUCUAUGCUGCAUUUUUGCUCCCCAAUGAAUUUCCCUCACCUGUAGCCAGUCCCAUAAAUCCAGCAUUACAAAUCUGAUCAUUAUUAGUCUUCUGUUUAAAAUCCCUCACUAAUUCCUCAUUUAAGUGCUUCUAGUUCUUUGUGGCUCCCGUGGCUUCUUCUCUAGGUGAACUGGGCUUAACUGUGUUUCUCUGUAUAUGCCUAUCUUUCCAGAUUCAGGGUGGUAGUUUGCCGAGACCUCAGUUCUCUGGUCAGUCUAAGAACAGUUAUUGGUUUUCAGUUUGUUUUCUCCUAUGUAUAAGGGAAUGAUACUUCCAUGCUUUUUAGACAUUAGAACUAAAAUGGAAGUCUGGUUAAGAAGAUGUUAAUCAUAAACAUCUUUGUAUUAAAUUAUUUGGAAAGUCAAA